rnacentral:rRNA from 1 species
CCUACGGGGUGCAGCAGUGGGGAAUAUUGGACAAUGGGGGCAACCCUGAUCCAGCCAUGCCGCGUGUGGGAAGAAGGCCCUCGGGUUGUAAAGCACUUUCAGUGAGGAAGAACGCCUGGUGGUUAAUACCCAUCAGGAAAGACAUCACUCACAGAAGAAGCACCGGCUAACUCCGUGCCAGCAGCCGCGGUAAUACGGAGGGUGCGAGCGUUAAUCGGAAUUACUGGGCGUAAAGCGCGCGUAGGUGGCUUGAUAAGCCGGUUGUGAAAGCCCCGGGCUCAACCUGGGAACGGCAUCCGGAACUGUCAAGCUAGAGUGCAGGAGAGGAAGGUAGAAUUCCCGGUGUAGCGGUGAAAUGCGUAGAGAUCGGGAGGAAUACCAGUGGCGAAGGCGGCCUUCUGGACUGACACUGACACUGAGGUGCGAAAGCGUGGGUAGCAAACAGGAUUAGAUACCCUAGUAGUC